rnacentral:tRNA from 1 species
CGCGGGGUGGAGCAGUCUGGUAGCUCGUUGGGCUCAUAACCCAAAGGUCGUAGGUUCAAAUCCUUCCCCCGCAA